rnacentral:rRNA from 1 species
GCUGGCAGGCGGGCCUAACACAUGCAAGUCGAACGCGAACGUCACCUUCGGGUGGCUAUUAGAGUGGCGCACGGGUGAGUAACACGUGGGUAAACUACCCUCCGGUCUGGGAUAACCUUCCGAAAGGGGGGCUAAUACCGGGUACGUCCUCGAGAUCUUUGGAUCUUGAGGGGAAAGGCGGUCUUCGGAUUGUCGCCGGUGGAUGUGCCCGCGCCCCAUCAGCUUGUUGGUAGGGUAACGGCCUACCAAGGCUUCGACGGGUAGCUGGUCUGAGAGGAUGAUCAGCCACACUGGAACUGAGACACGGUCCAGACUCCUACGGGAGGCAGCAGUGGGGAAUUUUGGGCAAUGGGCGAAAGCCUGACCCACCCACGCC